rnacentral:rRNA from 1 species
GGCGGCGCGCCUAACACAUGCAAGUCGAACGAGAAAGUGGAGCAAUCCAUGAGUACAGUGGCGUACGGGUGAGUAACACGUGGGUGAUCUACCUCUUAGUGAGGAAUAACCCUGGGAAACCGGGGCUAAUACCGCAUAAGCCUGAGAAGGGAAAGCAGCAAUGCGCUGAGAGAGGAGCCCGCGGCCGAUUAGCUAGUUGGUGAGGUAAAAGCCCACCAAGGCAGAGAUCGGUAGCCGGCCUGAGAGGGCACACGGCCACACUGGCACUGAAACACGGGCCAGACUCCUACGGGAGGCAGCAGUGGGGAAUCUUGCACAAUGGGGGCAACCCUGAUGCAGCGACGCCGCGUGAGCGAUGAAGCCCUUCGGGGUGUAAAGCUCUUUCGUCAGGGAAGAUCAUGACGGUACCUGGAGAAGCAGCUGCGGCUAACUACGUGCCAGCAGCCGCGGUAAUACGU